GCCUGGGUGGCUCAGUCGGUUGAGCGUCUGACUUCAGCUCAGGUCAUGAUCUCACAGCUCGUGAGUUCGAGCCCCAUGUCGGGCU
rnacentral:tRNA from 1 species